CCUACGGGAGGCAGCAGUGGGGAAUAUUGCGCAAUGGGCGAAAGCCUGACGCAGCGACGCCGCGUGAGGGAUGAAGGUCUUCGGAUCGUAAACCUCUGUCAGCAGGGACGAACGGUCACUGUGCUAAUCAGCAGUGAAUUGACGGUACCUGCGAAGGAAGCACCGGCUAACUCCGUGCCAGCAGCCGCGGUAACACGGAGGGUGCGAGCGUUAAUCGGAAUUACUGGGCGUAAAGCGCUCGUAGGCGGUAUGGCAAGUCAAGGGUGAAAUCCCCGGGCUCAACGUGGGAACUGCCUUUGAAACUGGCAAACUGGAGUGUGUGAGAGGAUAGUGGAAUUCCGGGUGUAGGAGUGAAAUGCGUAGAUAUCUGGAGGAACAUCAGUGGCGAAGGCGACUAUCUGGCACAUAACUGACGCUGAGGAGCGAAAGCGUGGGUAGCAAACAGGAUUAGAUACCCGAGUAGUC
rnacentral:rRNA from 1 species